GGUGAGUGGAGUCUGGACCUCUCCCCUGCCCAGCUGCGUCUGGGUAGGGGAGAGGAAGGCCAUGCGGCCUGUGGGAGGAGGCCGGGAGCCCCAAAAGGUGCAGGGGUGGAGGUUAUUAGACCGUGCAGGGGUGGAAGAGACUUGGGAUGUCUGGGCAGCCCCCCCCGAAGAGAGAGACAGAGACUGUGCUGGCAGCUCAGCUGGCCAGAAGCGGGGGAUGCAUCGAGAGAAGGUGCCGAGAGAAGGUGCCCGGCAGCUGUGGGAAUCCUGGGCAGGCAGAAGGGAAGAUUUUUAACCCCUUUGUAGAAUGAUGGAAACCUUACAAAUACUGAAUCCUCCUGAAUCAGAGUGAGGAGAGAGAGAUGAGAGAUGAAAUAGGCAAGCGUGAGGAAAGCUGGAAGAGGCGAGAAGAAUCUUGGGUGGAAGAGAUGAUGGAGUGGCCUUGGGCUGGACUCUUUCUUGUAUAGCCAUGGACAGACCCGUGUUUUUUCUGCUGUGACCCAGAGACUGCAUUUAGGGGGAGGCAAAACCCGGGAGUCAAGAGUGAAGCAGCAGCGUGAACAGGGAUGGCUGAGGAGGGUGUGGGAUGCCCUCUGUCUCCGUGGAGGGGAAGAUCUCUGCUCAUGAGGCCCCUCGGCCCCAGGGGGUGGAAUUUGGCGGGGACUGGUGUCCCAAAGUUGAGAGACUGCUGCUUCUGGAAGUGGGUGGAGCAUCUUUAAACGGGGAGCCCUAAAAGCAGUCCUGGCCCGUGUCCAGUGAAUUGGGUAAACGUGACCUUGACAUACUUCUUGGAGCUUCAUCAAAUGCACUUAUGGCAGAGGAAGGAGUUAAUGACUGGUCAUGCACACUGCCUACAUGCUCCAUGUGAUACUGAAAAGAUUUUACCAAGGCACAACUGACACUGGGACACAGCACAGGCUUAAUGAGGUGGUUCUUCUUUAAAGACUGCUUCAGAAGGGCAGACAUAUUUUGCCACAGUGAGGAUCUAAGGAACAAUAUGAUUACAGUGAUCACAUGCAACUGCUCUAAAUGUCUACAGAUAGUAUCCUCUGCCCUUGCAGCUGGAAUUGUUGUCUGAAGAAGGAUUUGAAUAGACUUUGUCCUUUCAAUACCACUUACAAAACUUCUGGUGUCAGUAAGAAAAAUCUAUUUUUUAUUGUAUGAUUGUAGAUAUUAUUUUUUUCUCCUUUUACAACCAAGGUUUUGAAACAAAAAAGAAAGGAUGUGUUUGGUUCUAAUGAGAUUAACAUUAGUGCCUUUUUCAUGGUAAAAAAAAAAAAAGGAGAAGGCUUCAUACAUCACUAGCUGAGAAACACUAGAUGCACAGAUGGGGGCAGAGAUGAUUCUCUUUGAUAGAACACACAGUUGGCAAGAAUGCAAGAGAGAAGUUUGAAAACUGAGGCUUAAAUUUAUUCAUUAUGAACAUUUUGGUUACCUAUUUGGGACUCUGGUGACAAAUUUAUAGUACGAAUUACAACUCUUUGAGCUUGUUUGAAACUUGGGCAAGUAGGGUUCCCAUGCAGACCUCUAUGUUGGGAUUUAAUACAAAAGAAAACCUCCAGAUUUUAGUUGUCCACAAGCCAUCCAGUUGUCCCACCUCCUGCAUGAAGAUUCUAGUGAGGGAUUAAGCUACCUUGUAACAGCAACUGUACUGCCUAAUUGUCUGAGAUUUGCUGCCUGGGCUGGAGCAGCCUGUCCAGGAAGAAAAGAUCCCUUGUGAGUCCUACAUCAUGUCCUGUGGAAGUGUCUCGGAUGUCCUGUGACAUCUUGGACACACUGUGGUGGUCGUAGCUGUAGGGGUACUAGUUAUCAGUUUUUCUAGGUCUGGAUUGAAGGCACUUGAGAUGGUAGUUCAUGUUUGGACUCAGGUGUUUAUUAUUUCUUUUCAGUAAAACAGUCUCACUACUGUGAGUUCGGCAGCUUUUCAUUAGAAGGCACAAAAUGGCUAACAAUCUCUUGUUACAAAGUCUUUUAAGACUAAACUAUCCAAUUAAGAGCUGACACCUAGAUUACUUUCCCUUUUAACCCAAUAACUGAUCCCAAAGAGCCCACAAUGUGGACUUUUUUGCCCAAUUACAAAAUGCCACCCAGACCCAUGAAGAACAAGAAAGAAGCAUGAAGAAGAAACCCAGGACAACAUCCUGUGCCCUCCAUCUUGCUGCCAUCCACAACAUACUAAAAAUCCCAAAACCUAAAUUUUUCCCCAGGUUAUACAUGUACACUACUCUCUAUAAUCUAUUUCACACUUUUGUGGAUUCUGGUCUAUUUUGAAGUCUAGGAAACUUUGUCCAUGAAUGAGGGUCAAAGUCAGUGCUCCCCUGGGGGUCAGGACACCCCAGAGCAGACAGAGAACUAUCCCUGGUGCUCUGGGUUUCCAGCGUAGCUAGAUCCUGCUCCCAGCCAAGGGAGGCUAGAGAGUCUUUCACCUCAUCCAAAAGUGCUACCACGUAUAUUCCUGGCUCUCUUAUAGAUCUAUAUUAUAUUGAUUACCAUUUGAAUGCAUGUAUCUCCUAUAAAUCUUAUAUAAUAUUACCAGUCUGUGCAGGUUUUGGACAUGGAUGGAAGGAUCUGCUGGCAUGGGCAUUUGGCAUAUUGACACCUUUGUGGCUGGUAAGCUCAAUAUCUUUGUAGGCAUUUUAGAUUGCAUUGGCUUUAUCCAUGAAGCAAAGAAAGCUUGACCUCAUAUUCAGCCUCAUGCCUUGGAAAAUCUGAUCUCUUGGGAAGAAAGAGAUAAUAUUCUUUAAAGUAGUUUUUUAUCCUUAUCAAAAUGUAUUUCUGCAUUCUGGACUUCAUAUAUGCUUGUUUCUAACAUUUCUUUUCAGAAAGGACAUGUCAAUUCACUGCCUCUAGUUUAUUUUCCAGUACAAUUCGGGCUGCAUGGGUAGAAUAAUUAUGAAAGGUGAGCUACACAGUUUGAAAAAAACCCCAACAGCUUGGGACUAAAUAUUUCUAUUGCCUUUGUUUUCUUUCCUGACUAAAAGCUUUUGCAGAUGCUUAACAUACGAAAGCUGAAGCAUUAGACCAGAGGUCCAUUAAGAUUCAAGUUCUCUUUUUGGCAGAAAUUAGUUAACAAAAUUUGAUACUGCAAAAAAAGAAGUGAGAGGUAAAAAAUGCACCAUAUCACAGGGAGACAUGGUGAGUAGACUUCUGUUUGUUUCCCAUUAAUCAACAACAAAUUGAAAUUAAGGGGGUUGUGAAAGACAGAGUAAAAGAAUAAAGCUUUAACAUGAAAACAAAAGAUUAUAUUCAGCACACUUAUCAGUGAUUUCCUUCUGUAUUCCACCAUACAUCAUGAUCAGAUUUUAUUUGUAAAGCAGUUUUGUCUCCUUGCAGUUUGAGUCAUCACUGAGAAGAAACCAUUGACUGGUCCUUGAAAUCUUUAGAAGAAAUAUAUUACUGGCUUUUGGAGAAACUAUCAAUUAUUUAAUUCUUGGAAGUGUUCUGAUGUAUGGGUUGAAAUUUUGUAAAAAGUCCUCACUGCACUCCUGGCAAUCUGUUUUGUAGAGGGUCCUUUGCAAUUUUACUAGAGUUAUUCUUUCCAAAAUCCCUCAAAUACAGUUAGACUGAAAUAUUUGGUUUUCAGGAAGAACUAUGCCCUGUAUAUUCUUAUAUCCCUAUAUAUUUUUAUAGCUGUUAGCUAUUACA